GGGGGAAAGAUUUAUCGCUAAGAGAUCAGCCUAUGUCCUAUCAGCUUGUUGGUAAGGUAAUGGCUUACCAAGGCUAUGACGGGUAUCCGGCCUGAGAGGGUGAACGGACACACUGGAACUGAGACACGGUCCAGACUCCUACGGGAGGCAGCAGUAGGGAAUAUUGCUCAAUGGGGGAAACCCUGAAGCAGCAACGCCGCGUGGAGGAUGAAGGUUUUAGGAUUGUAAACUCCUUUUGUUAGAGAAGAUAAUGACGGUAUCUAACGAAUAAGCACCGGCUAACUCCGUGCCAGCAGCCGCGGUAAUACGGAGGGUGCAAGCGUUACUCGGAAUCACUGGGCGUAAAGAGCGCGUAGGCGGGAUAGUCAGUCAGGUGUGAAAUCCUAUGGCUUAACCAUAGAACUGCAUUUGAAACUACUAUUCUAGAGUGUGGGAGAGGUAGGUGGAAUUCUUGGUGUAGGGGUAAAAUCCGUAGAGAUCAAGAGGAAUACUCAUUGCGAAGGCGACCUGCUGGAACAUUACUGACGCUGAUUGCGCGAAAGCGUGGGGAGCAAACAGGAUUAGAUACCCUGGUAGUCCACGCCCUAAACGAUGGAUGCUAGUUGUUGGAGGGCUUAGUCUCUCCAGUAAUGCAGCUAACGCAUUAAGCAUCCCGCCUGGGGAGUACGGUCGCAAGAUUAAAACUCAAAGGAAUAGACGGGGACCCGCACAAGCGGUGGAGCAUGUGGUUUAAUUCGAAGAUACACGAAGAACCUUACCUAGGCUUGACAUUGAGAGAAUCCGCUAGAAAUAGUGGAGUGUCUGGCUUGCCAGACCUUGAAAACAGGUGCUGCACGGCUGUCGUCAGCUCGUGUCGUGAGAUGUUGGGUUAAGUCCCGCAACGAGCGCAACCCCCUUUCUUAGUUGCUAACAGGUUAUGCUGAGAACUCUAAGGAUACUGCCUCCGUAAGGAGGAGGAAGGUGGGGACGACGUCAAGUCAUCAUGGCCCUUACGCCUAGGGCUACACACGUGCUACAAUGGGGUGUACAAAGAGAAGCAAUACUGCGAAGUGGAGCCAAUCUUCAAAACACCUCUCAGUUCGGAUUGCAGGCUGCAACUCGCCUGCAUGAAGCUGGAAUCGCUAGUAAUCGCAAAUCAGCCAUGUUGCGGUGAAUACGUUCCCGGGUCUUGUACUCACCGCCCGUCACACCAUGGGAGUUGUGUUUGCCUUAAGUCAGGAUGCUAAAUUAGCUACUGCCCACGGCACACACAGCGACUGGGGUGAAGUCGUAACAAGGUAACCGUAGGUGAACCUGCGGUUGGAUCACCUCCUUUCUAGA
rnacentral:rRNA from 1 species